UGUAUCCGACCUUAUGUUGUCGCGUUUCAUCAACUAGGGUACGUGCUGUAAGUUUUACCUGAAACUUUUAGGUUUACACUUAAGGCGAUUGUCGGGUUCGGACCAAGAAUUAUUGGUUAUUUUUUAAUAAAAUUUUCGAAAACCAAUUAGGUUUCGUAGCGGCUUGGGUCACAUUCAGAUGGGGCGUGUAAAUAGACCACUCUGAGUUGUCCAAGCUAAUUUAAUCUCCUCGUU